UUUGAAGGGCACGGACACGCCAAAACGCCAGAACGACAAAUAAGAGCGCUGUUAGGUUUUUGUCGUGCCGAGUUGGAACGCUUACUUGUCAAACAACAGAACGAAAUGGCUGAAGUACAGAUCUUGAGAAUAGUGAUAAGAAGGUGUAAUUCUGCGCCACAUUGCGGAAUGCGACGUUGCGUCAUUACGUCCCAUCAAUACAUGAAAAACAAAAUGGCGUCGAGUGAUGUAGCAGGCCGCUUCACUGGAUUGGACGGUUCUUUCGUUCUUGACUGGAAAAUCUGAGAGGUAGGGCAAGGAAACUCAAGGCACACGUGACGAGAAAGUUGGUGUCCCCAAAAUGGUACAAGGAAGAUGACAAAAUAACGAAUGGUUACAUGGAAAUAUAGAAAAAACUGGUCAACAAAGGCAGGGGAGGCGUUGUAAUCAUGGUGCAACCUGAUCUUCCGGCUGAGGAGUGUUUGGUCUUAGACUGUAACUGUGAAAUUAAAUGGGCUAAAGUUUCUGUCCUACAAAUGAAAACAUAUUAGUUGAAGCUUUCUACUGUGCACCUAAAUCUACACUAGGAGCUUUAGAGGAACUAGAAAAGUCUUUAGUUAAAAUUAACAGUGACCCAUCUUACAGGAUUAUGAAAAAAUCUUUCUUGGAGGUGACUUUAAUUUGGGAGAUAUAGAUUGGGAAAUAGGUUGCUCGAACACUGGCACAAGAGACAAAUUGCAUGGUGAUAAGUUACUUAACAUCAGUUUAAACUAUUUAUUGGAAUAAGUUAAUACAAUGCCAACACGGCAAGGACGUAUUUUAAAUCUUUUAUUUACUAGUCAUUCAAGUCUUAUUCAACGUCAUACGACAUAUCCACUCAGUGGAUUAAGUGAUCACGAUAAUCUUUCAUUUGUAACUUCUUUCAAACCAGUGGUGAAUAUGAAAACACCCAGAACAGUAUACAAUUACAAGAAAGCUGAUUUG